UGGAGGCGCAGCAGGAGCAGGGCCGGCGGGAGCUGGCGCAGGAGCUGCAGCGCGUGGAGAGGGUGCUGCGGAGCAUGGAGGCGGGCGAGCGGCUGGUGGAGAAGAUGAGCCUGUACGCCACGGAGCAGGAGGUGAUGGACAUGCAGCCCUUCAUCAAGGGUGCGCUGCAGGACCUGCAGCAGGCUGCGGUCAGGAGCCAGGCACAGCCCGUGGGCUUCGCUGAGUGCAGAGCCAGGCUGCAGGCGCUGGUGGAACGCAUCGAGGGGCACCCAGCCCCUGUUCCCAAAACAGGUACCUCUGCUCCCCACCACGACUCACUGUCUGAAGAUGGAACCACCCUGAUCGGCCACCAGGAGCCUCACAGGGAGCAUUACCAACUGCAUGGAGGUCUCCCCAUGGGGCUGCAUGCCCCCCACCAGCCCUGUGCCCCUGUAUCGGACCCCUCCAGCAGCAGAGGACACGUGUGUCCAAGGCAGGGAGGGGAUGUGUCCCUCACCCAACCCACAUCUCCAGCCCUACCAAUGCAGAGGGAUGAAAAAGCAGAGAAAGAUGUGGGGUCAGCCCAUGGGAACACUGUGCCUCUUCCCAGGAGCAUCCAGGACUCUCUGGCCUUGCUGCAGGAAGAUUUUGGUGGCUGGGCCAGGUCCAACAGGCAACAGGCAGAAAAGCUCCUGAAGAUGGGCAAUCGUCUCCUGCAAGCUCAGCACAGGGCAAACAGGCACUUGGUGUCCAUGACCCAGGAGAUCCAGGCCAUGUCCCACUCCCUGGCCAACAUCGCCUCGGCUGUGGGCCCCUUGCUGCAGGCCACGGGCAACUCCCAGGAGCCCCAGCCCGCACACAUGGAGUGGCCAUCGCUGCCCUCCAGCAUGCUGGAAUUGCUGCUUCCCAGCACCCUGCAGAGGCAGGAGCCGCCGUUCCCAGUGUCUGCCGCAGCCCCUUCCCAUGUGAGCUCCCAUCCUGCCACCCCCCUUGUGAGCCCAGCAUGCUCGGAGCCCCCCAGCCCAGCCUCUGAGGAGGAGCAUCCCAAAUCAAGGCAUCCCACCAGCAGCAAGCGUGGUGGGAAGCCCAGCACCAGGCUUCGGAAGCGAAGGAAGAAGUGAGGGGCUACAAACCAGAGUAAUUGCCAUGGGCUGCAGCUGGUUGGGAUACCCUUAUGGAGACCAAGGUCUCUAUUUUAUCUUUCUCUGCCAAUAAAUCCUC
rnacentral:lncRNA from 14 species